rnacentral:rRNA from 1 species
CGAAGCGACGCCGCGUGUGGGAAGAAGGCCUUCGGGUUGUAAACCACUGUCGGGAGUUAGGAAAUGCAGGUGCGUUAAUAGCGCACUUGCUUGACUAAGGCUCCAGAGGAAGCCACGGCUAACUCUGUGCCAGCAGCCGCGGUAAUACAGAGGCGGCAAGCGUUGUUCGGAAUUAUUGGGCGUAAAGAGCACGUAGGCGGCCUUGCAAGUCAGUUGUGAAAGCCUUCCGCUUAACGGAAGAACGGCAUCUGAUACUACAGGGCUUGAGUACGGGAGGGGAGAGUGGAACUUCUGGUGGAGCGGUGAAAUGCGUAGAUAUCAGAAGGAACGCCGGCGGCGAAAGCGACUCUCUGGUCCGAAACUGACGCUGAGUGUGCGAAAGCUAGGGGAGCAAACGGGAUUAGAUACCCCGGUAGUCCUAGCCGUAAACGAUGGGCACUAAGUAGAGGGAAUU